rnacentral:rRNA from 4 species
CGAGACCUCAGGUCAGGCGGGGUUACCCGCUGAGUUUAAGCAUAUC